UUAAGAGUAAAUUAGAUAUACUGUAAUGUAGACCAUGUUUCAUCAAGAACUUAGCAUAUUCAAAGUUGCGAGUCAUUUAUAUCAAUCAUAACUGAAAUCGUUAUGAGAGGUCCAGAUGAAUCCUAGUUUUCAAGAGUUUCAUAAUUAAUCAUUUUGAAAGAAAAAAAAAAAAACUUUCAACCAAUGUAUCAACAUUACAGUAAAUUAUUUUACUUACAUGAUAAAAUAUUUUAGUGGUUUAGAAAUUGGCUUAUAAAAUAUAGCAU
rnacentral:lncRNA from 1 species